rnacentral:rRNA from 1 species
GACGAACGCUGGCGGCGUGCUUAACACAUGCAAGUCGAACGGAAAGGCCCUGCUUUUGUGGGGUGCUCGAGUGGCGAACGGGUGAGUAACACGUGAGUAACCUGCCCUUGACUUUGGGAUAACUUCAGGAAACUGGGGCUAAUACCGGAUAGGAGCUCCUGCUGCAUGGUGGGGGUUGGAAAGUUUCGGCGGUUGGGGAUGGACUCGCGGCUUAUCAGCUUGUUGGUGGGGUAGUGGCUUACCAAGGCUUUGACGGGUAGCCGGCCUGAGAGGGUGACCGGCCACAUUGGCAUUGAGGUACGGCCCAGACUCAUACGGGAGGCAGCAGUGGGGAAUAUUGCACAAUGGGCGGAAGCCUGAUGCAGCAACGCCGCGUGCGGGAUGACGGCCUUCGGGUUGUAAACCGCUUUCGCCUGUGACGAAGCGUGAGUGACGGUAAUGGGUAAAGAAGCACCGGCUAACUACGU